rnacentral:rRNA from 1 species
UACGGAGGGUGCAAGCGUUGUCCGGAUUCAUUGGGUUUAAAGCGCACGCAGGCGGCUCUUCAAGUCUGACGUGAAAUCUCUCGGCUUAACCGGGAGCGGUCGUUGGAAACUGAAGGGCUUGAGGCGAUGAGAGGGGUGUGGAAUUCCCGGUGUAGUGGUGGAAUGCGUAGAUAUCGGGAGGAACAUCAGUGGCGAAAGCGGCACCCUGGCAUUAGCCUGACGCUCAUGUGCGAAAGCGUGGGGAGCGAACGGG